rnacentral:rRNA from 1 species
AGCAGCCGCGGUAAUUCCAGCUCCAAUAGCGUAUAUUAAAGUUGUUGCAGUUAAAAAGCUCGUAGUUGAAUUUCGGGAUCAAUUUAUUGGUCGUGCUAUUGUACGUACUGGUAUUAUUGAUUCCUACCUUCUGACGAACCAUGGUGUCAUUAAUUUGGUGUCAUGGGGAAUCAGGACUGUUACUUUGAAAAAAUUAGAGUGUUUAAAGCAGGCUCACGCUUGAAUACAUUAGCAUGGAAUAACGAAUAGGACGUUUGAUUCUAUUUUGUUGGUUUCUAGGAUCGACGUAAUGAUUAAUAGGGAUAGUUGGGGGCAUUAGUAUUCAAUUGUCAGAGGUGAAAUUCUUGGAUUUAUUGAAGACUAACUACUGCGAAAGCAUUUGUCCAAGGAUGUUUUCAUUAAUCAAGAACGAAAAGUUAGGGGAUCGAAGACGAUCAGAUACCGUCCGUAGUCUUAACCAUAAACUAAUGCCGACUGGGAUCGGAUGAUGUUAAUUUUUUAAUGACUCAUUCGGCGCCUUAC